ensembl:snRNA U6 U6 spliceosomal RNA
AUGCUCACUUUAGUACCACACAUACUAAUAUUGGAACGCUACAGAGGAGAUUAGCAUGUAGACAUGCUAAAGUUGACAGGCACAUUUGGGAAGCGGUCAAUAAUUUU